GGCUGGGUAGCUUAGCGGUUAAAGCGGCCCUAGCGCUCCCCCUCAUGUGGGGGGAGCCUCUCUUCUAAUGGCAUCUAUUUUAGUCGUUAUUAGAAGGGUAGAUUGGAGUUCGAAUCUCCACCCAGUCU
rnacentral:tRNA from 1 species